rnacentral:lncRNA from 1 species
AAGGAAAAAGAAAACUUUGGCCUUGGGUAUAUAAAAGAGUAAGUUAUUGACUUAAUUGCAAAGUACAUGUAACUGUAUAUUUAUUAUGUCAUGUAUGUUGCUCCACCCUAAUUUAAGUGGUGAGGCCCCUCAUGGGGGGGUCCUAGUAAUCACAUAAUCACCAUUUUUUUUGCCAAUAUAAUCACAUAAUCAUUAAAUAUUUGCUUAUCUUUAGUAAUCAAAUAAUCAUAAACUAAAAAUACAGUCCUAGGUAAUCAAAUAAUCAUGAAAUAUUUGGCUUAAUAAUCAAAUAAUCAUUAAAAAAACGGCCAAGUAAUCACAUAAUCAAAAACCCCAUGAGGGCCCUCAGUGGUACUCGGUGCAUUAAUGUAACAUUAAAUAUACAGUGAAUUUUAUCAAGGAUGAGGGUGUUUAAAAAAGAUUUAUUGAUAAAUAGUUAAUAUAUUAUAGACCUUUUGCAAUCAUAAUUGACUAGGAUUGUCAGUUUUCCUACUGAAGGUCAGCGGUUCUCUAUGGGCACUUUGGCUUCCUAGUUCCUACACCAAUAAAAACUCAUGACAGCCACGGAAUAGCACAAGUGUUUAAAAUUGCAUUUAACAACAAUCAAUCAAUCAGACAUCUCUAUUAAACAAAAACCUGUCUUUUUACCAUGUGUGGGCCCUUUUUGAUAAAUAUUUUACCCUGAGCAAAUGCGAGGGGUAAAAUAUCAGCAUAAAGGGACAACCCGUAGUAAAAUCACAAUAUAUUCAAGCCC